rfam:Hordeum vulgare subsp. vulgare, WGS project CAJW01000000 data, contig: morex_contig_136869
UUUGUACUCCCUCCAUCCCAAAAUUAUUGUCUUAAAUUUGUUUAUAUAUGAAUGUAUUAGUCAAGUUCUAGUAUUUAAAUACAACCAUUUUCAAAUAAAACUAAGACAAGAAUUUUGAAACGAAGGGAGUAGUAU